rnacentral:lncRNA from 1 species
CCGUCUUCACUAUGUUCAUGAAGACGGUGAACAAUUCACCGUCUUACCUAGGUAUACCUACUCUAAAGACGGUGAACUAUUCACCGUCUUUAUUGCAGACACCCGCCGGCGGGUAUCCUUAGAUAAGACGGUGAAUCGUUCACCGUCUUCACUAUGUUCAUGAAGACGGUGAACAAUUCACCGUCUUACCUAGGUAUACCUAGCCCCGACCUCGACACCUCUCCCUCCUUCUUCGCUCUCUUUCUCUCUCUUAUCUCUCUGUCUCUCUCUCCCUCUCUGCCCAUCCCUCUCCAACCAAGAGCCGCCCCCAGUCGCCGCCGCAGGUCACCGUCGACCCACCGAGCCUUCCCC